CCAGGUUGGGAAGUGCCCUUUCCAAUUUCUUGUUUGUACCAAGGUGUGUUAUUCCAUCACACUCAAAAUACAUGCAUAUUUAGUACUGGUACGUGCAAGUAUGUAAAACUUUAAGAUAUAGAUAUGCAAAAUCAACACGCUUAGAGAAUGUAUUCUUAAAGGUUACAUGACAUCCUCUGAUAACUGGGAGAUGGGGAAGCCAUGCAGCUCAGUGAUGCACACUCGAUCGAUCUGUUAAAGACGGUGGACGUCGAUGGCAACAUGGUGGCCAUGGAUCUGGCCGGAGAAGCGCCUCACCUUUGGCCACCAUGGAAGAACACCUCUUCAUCCUAAUUUGAACUCUUUCGUAAAACAAAUCUCCUAUUAGUUCAGACAUUAUGCAAAGUGCUCUAGAACAAAAACCAAAGCAACAUUUUGUCCACAAUAUUUGGUAUAAACUCUAAAGUGAUCCAGUAACAAAGAAUAUGCUAAUGGUGCACUAACAAAAUCUCUUAUACCAUUUGGAUAUUACAAGGAAUAACCAGUGGUUAUACUACAUACUUCACAAAAAAUGGCAAUAUGGGCAUAUGCAUCCAAACGACCAUUGUUAGAAAGAAGCAUAUAUACACAUAUAAGUGGGCAAACGACGAACAAACAAUUGUAUGGAUACAUGUGGACAGAGACGGAAAAAGGUAACAACCUGGUCCCAUUGCGGCAUUUCUGUCAUCUGUGUCUUGUAAAGAAACGAACGGGACUGCAGCCGCACCCAACAUAGAUGUAAGCACAUAUGACACAUGCACAGAAGAAGAUCAAGGGAUAGAAGAAUCACCAACCUAUAAACCCAGGCAGCAACUUGCAGAAAGAUCAUCACCUGCAAAUAAGAAAGUGGAGCACCAGAGCAGCCAGAUUAGUCAAAAUCUAAGAGAAAAGGACUAAAAUAAUGAGCUCCAGAGAACAACAGUCAAGAAAUAAUCUUUCCAAUUACUGGACGGAACUUUGUGUCACAAACUGAAGAAAUGGAAAUAAAUCCGACUUCAUGACGUUCAAUAUAUCAUGUGUGCCUUAGAUCAUAUAAUAAUGUGGAAGUAACUACAACAGAGAGGAAGACAACACACACCUUAGGAUAGAAGAUGAACUUAAUAAUGUGGAAGUAACUACAACAGAGAGGAAGACAACACACACCUUAGGAUAGAAGAUGAGCUUGACGACAAGGUCUACGCCGUGGAGAGAAGGAGCGGCAACAACCACCACCAGAUGAGCUCGACCACCACCAGGAGUAAAAAUUCAAAAAAGUUCAUCAAGGACAUGAACUAAGCACUAAUAUUUACAAUAUAGUAUCACCAUGAACAUGAACAGUACGUGUAGACUAAAUACU
rnacentral:lncRNA from 1 species